rnacentral:lncRNA from 10 species
GUACCGUUCCAGUGUCACUGGUGAAAGUCAUUUGGUGUUGCAGUAUUUUACAGUGAACGAGCGCAUCAGACAACCGCUUCUCCGUGGUUCAGCUGCAGCCUAUAUUCCCCGGGCUACUAAAUUGUAGCCACAAACCAGGGAUCCAAAUAAUAACAAGAAGACUCCUAAUCUCUGAGUGUUUAACCUAGGUGAAACUCGCUAAAUACUUUGUACAUAGAUUAUCUUAUUCAACCUGAACAACAAAAGCUAACAGAUAGGUACAGUGAUGCUCGUUUUAUAGGUUAAAAACAGUAAGCUUCAGAAAGUUGAGUAUCUCCUCUAGGAUAUUACAGCUAGGAGUGUAUCAAAUCAUGAUUUUAACCUAGGUACAGGCAACUUCAAGGUUUGAACUUUAAAUCAUGGCUUCAUUUGAGGGGAACAAAAGAAUUAUUAUAAAUAAUUUUAUGUGUCUCAACAUAGCAGAAUGUUUAAAUUUCUAUUAAAGAUAGACUACCUUACAAAGCGAGGUUUUCAAAUCUCUUCUAGCUAUUUUGAAAUAUACAAUAAAUUAUUGCUAACUACUCCAUGAACAUCACCUGUUACCACUUAAGAAGGGUGCGUACCCUCCAGCCGCAUCCAUGCCAGUUCCCGUAACCCUUAUGAGGUUCUGGAGUGGCAGCAGCAAUGGCCUCCUGCCCUCCUGGCGGGCUGGAGCCUCCUCCUGGCAGGUGGGGUAUUGAUAAGAACAACAGCUUACACUUCCCGAGGAUUUGUAACGUGCCAGUACCUGGAAUGAAUCAAUGUCUUUAUGCAUUUCUCUACACUAAGUCCUCAGAGUACAGAAACCACAGCA